UACGUAGGGUGCGAGCGUUGUCCGGAAUUAUUGGGCGUAAAGAGCUCGUAGGCGGUCCGUCGCGUCGAAUGUGAAAACCCGGGGCUCAACUCCGGGCUUGCAUUCGAUACGGGCGGACUAGAGUUCGGUAGGGGAGACUGGAAUUCCUGGUGUAGCGGUGAAAUGCGCAGAUAUCAGGAGGAACACCGGUGGCGAAGGCGGUCUGCUGGGCCAGUACUGACGCUGAGGCGCGACAGCGUGGGGAGCAAACAGG
rnacentral:rRNA from 1 species